rnacentral:rRNA from 1 species
CGGACGGGUGAGUAACGCGUGGGUAACCUACCCUGUACACACGGAUAACAUACCGAAAGGUAAUGCUAAUACAGGAUAAUAUAUUUGAGAGGCAUCUCUUGAAUAUCAAAGGUGAGCCAGUACAGGAUGGACCCGCGUCUGAUUAGCUAGUUGGUAAGGUAACGGCUUACCAAGGCGACGAUCAGUAGCCGACCUGAGAGGGUGAUCGGCCACAUUGGAACUGAGACACGGUCCAA